rnacentral:rRNA from 1 species
AACGAACGCUGGCGGCGCGCUUAACACAUGCAAGUCGAACGAGAAGGCGUAGCAAUACGCUUGUACAGUGGCGAACGGGUGAGGAAUACAUGGGUAACCUACCCUCGAGUGGGGAUAACCCGCCGAAAGGCGGGCUAAUACCGCGUACGCUUCCGAUCUUGCGGGAUUGGAAGGAAAGCUGUCCCUUGGGGAUGGCGCUCAAGGAUGGGCUCAUGUCCUAUCAGCUUGUUGGUAGGGAACGGCCUACCAAGGCAUCGACGGGUAGCUGGUCUGAGAGGACGAUCAGCCACACUGGCACUGCGACACGGGCCAGACUCCUACGGGAGGCAGCAGUGAGGAAUAAUUGCGCAAUGGGCGAAAGCCUGACGCAGCGACGCCGCGUGGGGGAUGAAGGU